rnacentral:ribozyme from 14 species
AAAGAAUCCAAUACAAUGCUAUGCUGCAAAAAGAAAUCACUUUAAAGUGUAUGAAUUCUGUGAUGGGCUCGUUCUUUUCUUUUUCUUUUUUUUUUU